AUUGAACGCUGGCGGCAUGCCUUACACAUGCAAGUCGAACGCGAAAGCGGGGCAACCCGCAAGUAGAGUGGCGAACGGGUGAGUAAUACAUCGGAACGUGUCCAGUAGCGGGGGAGUAACCUACUCGAAAGAGAGGCUAAUACCGCAUACGACCUACGGUGGAAAGAGGGGAGUCGCAAGACCUCUCACUAUUGGAGCGGCCGUUGUCGGAUUAGCUAGUUGGCGGGGUAAAAGGACCCACCAAGGCGACGAUCCGUAGCUGGUCUGAGAGGACGACCAGCCACACUGGAACUGAGACACGGUCCAGACUCCUACGGGAGGCAGCA
rnacentral:rRNA from 1 species